rnacentral:rRNA from 1 species
GACGAACGCUGGCGGCGUGCUUAACACAUGCAAGUCGAACGGAAAGGCCCUGCUUGCCGGGUACUCGAGUGGCGAACGGGUGAGUAACACGUGGGUGAUCUGCCCUGCACUUCGGGAUAAGCCUGGGAAACUGGGUCUAAUACCGGAUAGGAGCCAUUUUUAGUGUGAUGGUUGGAAAGUUUUUUCGGUGUAGGAUGAGCUCGCGGCCUAUCAGCUUGUUGGUGGGGUAAUGGCCUACCAAGGCGGCGACGGGUAGCCGGCCUGAGAGGGUGGACGGCCACAUUGGGACUGAGAUACGGCCCAGACUCCUACGGGAGGCAGCAGUGGGGAAUAUUGCACAAUGGGCGCAAGCCUGAUGCAGCGACGCCGCGUGGGGGAUGACGGCCUUCGGGUUGUAAACUCCCUUCGCUAGGGACGAAGCUUUUGUGACGGUACCUAGAUAAGAAGCACCGGCUAACUACGUG